GGUCCGAGCCACGUUGACGAUAGUCAAAAAAGACAAUGACCGUCAAUGCUAUGAUUGGACCUAUACAAAUUUCAUGUUAAACAUCUUGAUAGGAAUCUGUACACUGAUUUGCCAUUUAUUUACAGAGCCGUUUUGUGCGAUUACAUUU